rnacentral:rRNA from 1 species
GACGAACCGUGCGAACGUUAUUCGGAAUCACUGGGCUUAAAGCGCGUGUAGGCGGGACGGCACGUCGGUCGCUGAAAUCCCCCGGCUCAACCGGGGAACGGGCACCGAUACGACCGUCCUGGAGGAACGUAGGGGGACCUGGAACUUCCGGUGGAGCGGUGAAAUGCGUUGAGAUCGGAAGGAACGCCCGUGGCGAAAGCGAGGUCCUGGACGUUUUCUGACGCUGAGACGCGAAAGCCAGGGGAGCGAACGGG